rnacentral:rRNA from 1 species
GCAGCAGGCGCGCAAAUUACCCACUCUCAGCACAGAGGAGGUAGUGACGAAAAAUAACGAGACCGUACUCGAUGAGGCCGGUUAUCGGAAUGGGUAAAAUUUAAACCCGUUAACGAGGAUCUAUGAGAGGGCAAGUCUGGUGCCAGCAGCCGCGGUAAUUCCAGCUCUCAAAGUGUAUAUCGGCAUUGCUGCGGUUAAAAAGCUCGUAGUUGGAUUUCAGCCUUACGACGUGGUCCAUUCAUUGAAUGCGAACUACGCCUCGUAGGCUAUUUUGAUGUUGGUUUUUCCUUAUGUUGCUCUCAUCGGCUGCGUAAGGUGGCUAACGAGUUUACCUUGAAAAAAUUAGAGUGCUCAACGCGGGCUAACGCCUGAAUACUCGUGCAUGGAAUAAUGGAAUAGGAUCUCGGUUCUAUUUUGUUGGUUUUCUGAUCUGAGAUAAUGGUUAAGAGGGACAGACGGGGGCAUUCGUAUCGCUGCGUGAGAGGUGAAAUUCUUGGACCGUAGCGAGACGUCCCACUGCGAAAGCAUUUGCCAAGAAUGUCUUCAUUAAUCAAGAACGAAAGUCAGAGGUUCGAAGGCGAUCAGAUACCGCCCUAGUUCUGACCGUAAACGAUACCAACUAGCGUUCCGUCAGCAGUAAUUACGCCUUGACGGGCAGCUUUCCGGAAACGAAAGUUUUUCGGUUCCGGGGGAAGUAUGGUUGCAAAGCUGAAACUUAAAGAAAUUGACGGAAGGGCACCACCAGGAGUGGAGCCUGCGGCUUAAUUUGACUCAACACGGGAAAACUCACCUGGCCCGGACACCGUGAGGAUUGACAGAUUGAGAGCUCUUUCUUGAUUCGGUGGUUGGUGGUGCAUGGCCGUUCUUAGUUGGUGGAGUGAUUUGUCUGGUUUAUUCCGAUAACGAACGAGACUCUAGCCUGCUAAAUAGUCGGCGAAUAAUUUUAACGUUCGCACGACUUCUUAGAGGGACAAGCGGUUUUCAGCCGCAUGAAGUUGAGCAAUAACAGGUCUGUGAUGCCCUUAGACGUCCAGGGCUGCACGCGCGCUACACUGGAGGAAUCAACGUGCUAUGUCCGUUGUCGAAAGGCAACGGUAACCCAUUGAAAAUCCUCCGUGCUCGGAAUCGGGA